rnacentral:rRNA from 1 species
GACGAACGCUGGCGGCGUGCUUAACACAUGCAAGUCGAGCGGUAAGGCCCUUUCGGGGGUACACGAGCGGCGAACGGGUGAGUAACACGUGGGUGACCUGCCCUCAGCUCUGGGAUAAGCCUGGGGAAACUGGGUCUAAUACUGGAUAUGACUCCACGGUGCAUGUCGUGGGGUGGAAAGCCUUGUGCGGCUGAGGAUGGGCCCGCGGCCUAUCAGCUUGUUGGUGGGGUGANGGCCUACCAAGGCGACGACGGGUAGCCGGCCUGAGAGGGCGACCGGCCACACUGGGACUGAGACACGGCCCAGACUCCUACGGGAGGCAGCAGUGGGGAAUCUUGCGCAAUGGGCGAAAGCCUGACGCAGCGACGCCGCGUGAGGGAUGACGGCCU